rnacentral:rRNA from 1 species
AGCACUCCUACGGGAGGCAGCAGUGGGGAAUAUUGCACAAUGGGGGNAAGCCUGAUGCAGCAACGCCGNGUGGGGGNNGAAGGCCUUCGGGUUCUAAACCUCUUUUGGCAGGGAAGAAGNGAAAGUGACGGUACCUGCAGAAAAAGC